rnacentral:rRNA from 1 species
GCAGCCUGAUCUAGCGAUGCCGCGUGAGUGACGAAGGUCUUAGGAUCGUAAAGCUCUUUCGCCAGGGAUGAUAAUGACAGUACCUGGUAAAGAAACCCCGGCUAACUCCGUGCCAGCAGCCGCGGUAAUACGGAGGGGGUUAGCGUUGUUCGGAAUUACUGGGCGUAAAGCGUACGUAGGCGGAUCAGAAAGUUGGGGGUGAAAUCCCAGGGCUCAACCCUGGAACUGCCUCCAAAACUAUUGGUCUAGAGUUCGAGAGAGGUAAGUGGAAUUCCGAGUGUAGAGGUGAAAUUCGUAGAUAUUCGGAGGAACACCAGUGGCGAAGGCGGCUUACUGGCUCGAUACUGACGCUGAGGUACGAAAGUGUGGGGAGCAAACAGGAUUAGAUACCCUGGUAGUCCACACCGUAAACGAUGAAUGCCAGUCGUCAGAGGGCUUGCCCUUUGGUGACACACCUAACGGAUUAAGCAUUCCGCCUGGGGAGUACGGUCGCAAGAUUAAAACUCA